GGCUUCAAGUGAUCCUGCCCCCACCUCAGCCUCCUGAGCAGCUGGGACUACAAGGCACAAGUCACCACACCUGGCAACCACACUUUCCUUUGGAGAACUCAUUCCAUGUGGUUCAGGUGGAGAAGCUCUGCCUUCCUCUUACAUAACAAGUUCCAAGGAUGGUUUGGAGCUGCUUGCAGCCAUCUUCUCCAGUGGUACAGGGCACAGAAGCAGCUGUCAUCAGCUGAAGGAAAUGAAGCCAAUAUGCAAAGAGAAAGAGCAGAGAGAUGGAAAGCUAAAGGCAACCUUAAACACAUCUUUGAGCCUCUGGAUCCAUCUCUUCUCAGGAGACAAUAAAUUCCCAUUUUGUUUAUGUUC